UUGUAUAGUCACCCAUCAUUAAGGCUUAUAAUCUAUAGUUUUGCAGGGUGUUGGAAAGUUGGAGCCCAUAUGUUCAUCAGUGCGUUUGACUUGGCCACCUAUCCAGUUGCUAUCGGUGAAGAUUUAAGCUGAUCCACUGGUGGUUCUUCAUGGCAGAGAAUGUGCUUUCGGUCAGUGCACGCGCCAAACCCUCUUUUGCAUUGCAUUACAUUACACUGUGCUCCUGAUCCUAACCAAAAGGACAAGCCAAAGGUAUCAAAGUAUUGUAUUGUUGUGCCGAGAAAGGUGCAGGUAUGUGGCGCGCGUGUUCAAGUGAGUACACGAUACAACGGUCCAAACACCAAACCUGCAUGCAUCAAGGAAGAAUCUUCGAGAUGGAAGGUGAGCAUAUUAUUAUUAUUCGCUGAGCAAAACAAGAGCAGCUUUCAUUUCGAACGAACUGUAUCUGAUGCUAAUUAGUGUCUUGUGGGGCAGGAUUAAGAUACAGUUAUCGUCACCUGGAUCAUUUGCCCAUUGGGUUGUGUG
rnacentral:lncRNA from 1 species